rnacentral:rRNA from 1 species
UACGGAAGGUCCGGGCGUAUCCGGAUUUAUUGGGUUUAAAGGGAGCGUAGGUGGAUUGUUAAGUCAGUUGUGAAAGUUUGCGGCUCAACCGUGGAAUUGCAGUUGAAACUGGAGGCCUUGAGUGCACACAGGGAUGCCGGAAUUCAUGGUGUAGCGGUGAAAUGCUUAGAUAUCAGGAGGAACACCGGCGGCGAAGGCGGCCUGCUGGACUGAAACUGACGUUGAGGCUCGGAAAGCGUGGGGAGCAAACAGG